UACGAAGGGGGCUAGCGUUGUUCGGAUUUACUGGGCGUAAAGCGCGUGUAGGCGGGCUGGAAAGUUGGGGGUGAAAUCCCGAGGCUCAACCUCGGAACUGCCGCCAAAACUUCCAGCCUGGACUCAGGUAGAGGCAAGUGGAAUUGCGAGUGUAGAGGUGAAAUUCGUAGAUAUUCGCAGGAACACCAGUGGCGAAGGCGACUUGCUGGACUUGUAGUGACGCUGAGACGCGAAAGCGUGGGGAGCAAACAGG
rnacentral:rRNA from 1 species